CGCACCUUUGUGGUCACCUGUGGGAUCGUAGCUGUCACGAUGGGGCGGAUGAGAAGGGCUGAUCAUCUUUACUGCUGUGUGACAAAAUGCUUGGGUUGUGCAGAUCCACUGCGUAGCCACCCCCAUCACUAGGUCUUAUUUUCCGGGUAGGGCUUCUAUUGUGCAAAUGCUUAGAAAUUCUGCUAGGGCUUAUUUUAUGUGUAGGUCUUAUUUUUGGGGAAACGUGGUACUUGUCAGGGAGGAAAGAGUAGAAAUCACAUCAUCAAUCAUUUCUUUUAAGUUAGAUACCCAAAGUGGAAUUACCAGGACCAAGGGUAUGAAAACUUUCAUGGCAGAAUGAAAAUUUUCGGUUUUAACCAGGUUCAUUGCCAGUGCUGUUUGUUACUCCACCAGCUCUACUUCCUUGUGCUUUGCAGGCGUUGCCCCAGCCUAGGAAGCCAAGACAUGUUUCCAGACAAGUGUAGAGGGAAUCAAAUGAGUGAAUGCCCAGGGAACGUGGUGUGAGAUUUGGAAGGCGGCAGUGGAGCAGCAGCCAGUAUGCUGUGAAGGUCGGUGCAGGGUGCCAGGCGCGGCUGCAGCUCAUGUGUGUUGUCGCUGAUCUGCUGGCUUCCUCUGUUGGUGUGGGGCAGCCGCCAGGCUCGCAGCUCCUCCAGCUGCUGCCAGAUCUCCCUCAUCUUCUCUGAGUCCUGAGCCAUGGACAUGCAGCUCUGCAGGGACGGGCACAAGCUGCUUCUGCAGUUCACCUGUGCUUCAAGGUGGGAAACAGGGUGGGUUCCAGUUUGUCCUUUUGAGUCCCUGUUUGUUCUCCCAUGUUCCAACUUGCCUUCACAGAUUCUAGUUUGUCUUUCAGCUUUACUUCCUGACUCCUGGCCUUGCUAGUCCACUGUGACUUCAGAUCCAUCACUGAAUGCAGAGAAGACCUCCUUCCAUGGCUUCUUCACCAGCUCCCGUGAUUGCCUGAGGCCUAAUCCUUUCAAUAAAUUCCUGCUUUCAUACCA